ACGCAUCGUCAUAUAUUGUGUGA
rnacentral:snRNA from 1 species